AACAAAGUCUCCGUAGGUGAACCUGCGGAGGGAUCAUUACACAAUAACAAGGCGGGCUGGACACCCCCCGCUGGGCACUGCUUCACGGCGUGCGCGGCGGGGCCGGCCCUGCUGAAUUAUUCACCCGUGUCUUUUGCGUACUUCUUGUUUCCUGGGUGGGCUCGCCCGCCCUCAGGACCAACCACAAACCUUUUGCAAUAGCAAUCAGCGUCAGUAACAACGUAAUUAAUUACAACUUUCAACAACGGAUCUCUUGGUUCUGGCAUCGAUGAAGAACGCAGCGAAAUGCGAUACGUAGUGUGAAUUGCAGAAUUCAGUGAAUCAUCGAAUCUUUGAACGCACAUUGCCCCCUUUGGUAUUCCAAAGGGCAUGCCUGUUCGAGCGUCAUUUGUACCCUCAAGCUUUGCUUGGUGUUGGGCGUCUUUUGUCUCCAGUUCGCUGGAGACUCGCCUUAAAGUCAUUGGCAGCCGGCCUACUGGUUUCGGAGCGCAGCACAAGUCGCGCUCCUGCCAGCCAAGGUCAGCGUCCAGCAAGCCUUUUUUUCAACCUUUGACCUCGGAUCAGGUAGGGAUACCCGCUGAACUUAAGCAUAUCAAUAAGCGGAGG
rnacentral:rRNA from 1 species